AGCAGCAACAAAUGAAGAGCUAAACGCCAAAGAAGAGGAACUUCCCAAAGGAAACCCACUGCUUGACAACACUCCAACUGUGUUUAGUGUCAAAAGAAGGCUAGCAUCUUUUGAAGUGGGAUGAUGAUGUGGUAUCGAGAAUCAGGCACGUGGGGAAAUGAAAUUAAGCACCUAAGCGCUUCAUCAUGCAGGAGGUCCUUGAGAUAAAAGGCAAACGAGGAAAGUAGGCUUUUUUAAUUAAAAUGUCUACCACCAGAAGCAAUCAAUCUGAUUGGACCGUAAGAAUCUUCAACCACAGACGGUAAUGUUUUUUUCAAAUACAUAUACUAACCAGCUAUAGCUUUACAUCAAUAAAUUCAGGACAGUGAUCGAAAUGUUGUCCCAGUUCAUACACAUGCAUUUGGUUUCUUUAAUCGGGCAUUGCAGUGAGAACAAUAAAAGGACCAUUGUGCAUGACUUGGAUCGCCCAAGGUUGAGCUGGAGACAGAAACUUGAGAUAUGUCUUGGUGCAGCUAGAGGCCUGCA